rnacentral:rRNA from 1 species
UGGGGAAUUUUGGACAAUGGGCGAAAGCCUGAUCCAGCAAUGCCGCGUGUGUGAAGAAGGCCUUCGGGUUGUAAAGCACUUUUGUCCGGAAAGAAAUCCUUGGCUCUAAUACAGUCGGGGGAUGACGGUACCGGAAGAAUAAGCACCGGCUAACUACGUGCCAGCAGCCGCGGUAAUACGUAGGGUGCAAGCGUUAAUCGGAAUUACUGGGCGUAAAGCGUGCGCAGGCGGUUUGCUAAGACCGAUGUGAAAUCCCCGGGCUCAACCUGGGAACUGCAUUGGUGACUGGCAGGCUAGAGUAUGGCAGAGGGGGGUAGAAUUCCACGUGUAGCAGUGAAAUGCGUAGAGAUGUGGAGGAAUACCGAUGGCGAAGGCAGCCCCCUGGGCCAAUACUGACGCUCAUGCACGAAAGCGUGGGGAGCAAACAGGAUUAGAUACCCUGGUAGUCCACGCCCUAAACGAUGUCAACUAGUUGUUGGGGAUUCAUUUCCUAGUAACGUAGCUAACGCGUGAAGUUGACCGCCUGGGGAGUACGGUCGCAAGAUUAAAACUUAAAUGAA